rnacentral:ncRNA from 1 species
ACCCCCGUGAGAAUGCCCCCACCCCGCUCCCUGACCGGGAGCAAGGAGCUGGUAUCAGGCACAUCCCCAUAGCCCAUGACACCUUGCUAAGCCACACCCUCAAGGGAUCUCAGCAGUGAUAAACAUUAAGCCAUAAGUGAAAACUUGACUUAGUUAAAGCUAAAAGGGCCGGUAAAACUCGUGCCAGCCACCGCGGUUAUACGAGAGGCCCAAGUUGACUGCCGCCGGCGUAAAGAGUGGUUAAGCCAGAGGAAAUUCACUAAAGCCGAAUGCCCUUAGAGCCGUUAUACGCACCCAAAGGUAAGAAGCCCAAUUACGAAAGUAGCUUUACUCCCCUGAACCCACGAAAGCUAGGACACAAACUGGGAUUAGAUACCCCCYUAUGCCUAGCCGUAAACAUAGAUAGCAAACUACCCCCACUAUCCGCCCGGGAACUACAAGCAUUAGCUUGAAACCCAAAGGACUUGGCGGUGCUUUAGACCCCCCUAGAGGAGCCUGUUCUAGAACCGAUACCCCCCGUUAAACCUCACCUUUCCUUGCCCCCCCCCGCCUAUAUACCGCCGUCGUCAGCUUACCCUGUGAAGGCCUCAUAGUAAGCAAAAUUGGCACAGCCCAAAACGUCAGGUCGAGGUGUAGCGCAUGAAAAGGGAAGAAAUGGGCUACAUUCACUGCCACAGUGAACACGAACAACGCACUGAAACGUGCCUUUGAAGGAGGAUUUAGCAGUAAGCGGAAAAUAGAGCGUUCCGCUGAAACUGGCCCUGAAGCGCGCACACACCGCCCGUCACUCUCCCCAAGCCCCAAAACCUUCCUACAUAAGACCUUAAAUUCGCGAAGGGGAGGCAAGUCGUAACAUGGUAAGCGUACCGGAAGGUGCGCUUGGAAAAC